GAUGAACGCUAGCGGCAGGCUUAAUACAUGCAAGUCGAGGGGCAACAGGGGUAGCAAUACCUGCUGGCGACCGGCAAACGGGUGCGGAACACGUACAGAACCUUCCUUUAAGCGGGGGAUAGCCCAUAGAAAUGUGGAUUAAUACCCCAUGGUAAUGUUUGAUGGCAUCAUCAAAUAUUUAAAGAUUUAUCACUUAAAGAUGGCUGUGCGGCUGAUUAGGUAGUUGGUCGGGGUAACGGCCCACCAAGCCAACGAUCAGUAACUGGUGUGAGAGCACGACCAGUCACACGGGCACUGAGACACGGGCCCGACUCCUACGGGAGGCAGCAGUAAGGAAUAUUGGUCAAUGGACGCAAGUCUGAACCAGCCAUGCCGCGUGAAGGAUGAAGGCCCUCUGGGUUGUAAACUUCUUUUAUCUGGGAAGAAAUGUCUUGUUUUUUAACGAGUUUGACGGUACCAGAGGAAUAAGCACCGGCUAACUCCGUGCCA
rnacentral:rRNA from 1 species